rnacentral:lncRNA from 1 species
CAAAAUGCUUAUAAAUAGGGACACUUCCUACAUCUUCCCUCACAACACACAAGUAGUAGCUAACUGGUGUGAUUAAUUCUGAUACAUAUAUAGGGAGUGAUUCUCAACUUUCUUUUCCCACAAUGGGGAGUUCUAAGGUGGUGGGUUUUGCAUUCUUGGUUUUGCUCCUCCUGGAUCUCUCCUUUGCUGCUAGAAUAUUGAAGGAAUAUGGCGCCGAUGGAGGUGGCGGAGGAGGUAGUGGUGAAGAGGGUGGCGGGGGCGGUGGUGGUUCCGCUGUCGGAGCUGGUUCAGGCUACGGUUCGGGUAGUGGUUCAGGGUAUGGCGGUGCUGAUGGGCACGGGUAUGCAAG